rnacentral:rRNA from 1 species
UACAGAGGUCUCAAGCGUUGUUCGGAUUCAUUGGGCGUAAAGGGUGCGUAGGCGGCGCGGUAAGUCGGGUGUGAAAUCUUGGAGCUUAACUCCGAAACUGCAUUCGAUACUGCCGUGCUUGAGGACUGGAGAGGAGACUGGAAUUUACGGUGUAGCGGUGAAAUGCGUAGAGAUCCGGAGGAACCCCAGAGGCGAAGGCGGCGCCCUGGCUCGUACCUGACGCUCAGACACGACAGCAUGGGGAGCGAACGGG